rnacentral:tRNA from 1 species
GUUAGAGCAGACGGCUCAUAACCGUCCUGUCGUAGGUUCGAGUCCUACAAGGUCCAUAAUAUGGCUUUUAUAUU